rnacentral:rRNA from 1 species
GUCGAGCGAGAAGGGGGGGCAACCCCCUGAGUAGAGCGGCGCACGGGUGAGUAACGCGUGGGUAACCUACCCUCAGGCGGGGGAUAACUACUCGAAAGGGUGGCUAAUACCGCAUGAGACCACGGGAUCUUCGGAUCCUGAGGCUAAAGAUCGCACCGGCUUGCCGGUGCCGUCACCAGGGGAUGGGCCCGCGUCCGAUUAGCUUGUUGGCGAGGUAAUGGCUCACCAAGGCUACGAUCGGUAGCUGGUCUGAGAGGAUGAUCAGCCACACUGGAACUGAAACACGGUCCAGACUCCUACGGGAGGCAGCAGUGAGGAAUAUUGCGCAAUGGGGGAAACCCUGACGCAGCAACGCCGCGUGGGUGAAGAAGGCCUUCGGGUCGUAAAGCCCUUUCGGACGGGACGAACGCUCCGCGGUGACAAGCCGCGGAGUCUGACGGUACCGUAGGAAGAAGCACCGGCUAACUCCGUGCCAGCAGCCGCGGUAAU